rnacentral:rRNA from 1 species
UACAGAGGGGGCGAGCGUUGUUCGGAAUUACUGGGCGUAAAGCGUGCGCAGGCGGUGAUGUAAGACAGUUGUGAAAUCCCCGGGCUCAACCUGGGAACUGCAUCUGUGACUGCAUCGCUGGAGUGCGGCAGAGGGGGAUGGAAUUCCGCGUGUAGCAGUGAAAUGCGUAGAUAUGCGGAGGAACACCGAUGGCGAAGGCAAUCCCCUGGGCCUGCACUGACGCUCAUGCACGAAAGCGUGGGGAGCAAACAGG